AUGGUUAAAUCUUUAAAACUACGCAACGGAUUUUGAUGCGGUUUUUUUAAAUAGAUAGAGUGAUUGACUUGUUUUAAGAGAUAUUCAUUUUGAAUAUUUCAGUAAUAUCUAAAUACUUACCAUAUCAUCAAGAUAAUCAGGCAGUCUUCCAAUAGGGUUAUUCGUGUGCACAAAGAAGUGUGGCGAACGACGGGCCAAUAGCCGUAACGCGCGCCAGCCCCACCCCGCACGACCCGCCUCACCGCUCUCCCCACCAGAUAGCAUGUACGAUUCUACAAUAUAUUUACAUUAUAAGUUGGCAAAUGAACUGCCGCGUCACCAGACUGAAAGCAAUGAUUAGCGCUGCCCAUGAUAAUCAACAAACCCUGAAGUGGUGUGGCUCUAUUGCUUCUAGUUUGUACGAUGAGAAUGCUGAUAAAACACUGCCGGAAUGCUGAAAUUAUUUAUUGAAAUUAAACAAUUAAUAACCAAGGAUGGAAUAAAG